UUUGUACUUGUUACUGGGAUUUGGUGUUUGAUUGUUUUUGUGGAUCAAAUGUAGAGCCGAGUUCGGAUACUCGUUUGGCGAAAGUGAAAGUGGAUUCAGACUUCACGGCACCUUGUGACACUUCUAUACUCUACCCUGCCGAUGGAGGGAAUAUGCAUUGCUUCACCGCGAAAACUGCUUGUGCGGUUCUUGAUGUUCUUGGUCCUCCAUACUCCGAUCCUGCAGGACGUCACUGUACGUACUACUUCGAUCAUCCAUUCUCAAGCUUCUCAGGUACGGUACUCUUCUGUUCUAGUUUUGAUUUGUUUCACAAGAUCUGAUUGGAGAAUUGAAUCUACAGGUGAUGGAGUUGAGGUUGGGGAGGAGGUGAAACACAAGUAUGAGUGGUUGAAGGAGAGGGAAGAGGAGCCUGAGGAUUUGACUGUUAUGGCGAUGAUGUAUAGUGGACCAAUCAUCAAAGAAUGAAUGUGUAGGAGAAAGAAAAAAAGUCUCUUUUUGUUGUUGUUUCGUUAACUUUUCUUCGUGUGGUUUUUGGGUUUCUGUUGGUUUUGUCUGUAUAUAAAAAGAAGUCUUUGAAAGUACACACAGCACAGGGACAAACCUUGAAUUUGGAUCAACGAAAAAUAGUAACGCAAGUACACGUUUGUCGGAAUGUCGUACUGUUUAGACAUCAUCAUGAUCCUUUCCUAGAAGUUGUUGAGGUGUCUAAUCAUUUUAGGCCGAAGUAAAGUAAACAAAUAGGGAUGUAGCAUGCGGGAGGUAUUCUCCAUUUUAAUGUUGAAACCAGAACGGUUAGGAUGCUUCACAAGAGAAUCUGAAUUUUGAAUGUUUUAACGCUGUCUUGAUCACAAGGGGAUGUAGCUCAGAUGGUAGAGCGCUCGCUUAGCAUGCGAGAGGUACCGGGAUCGAUAGCCCGCAUCUCCACUUUAAUGUUUUUCCAACUUUUAGUGUCACAAAAACGACCAUUAUUGUAGCGAACUCAGCCUCACCAUAAGUCUCGCCGCUACUCCUCUUAAUCACAAAGUUUUGUCUUCCAACAAAUAUAAAUAACUUAUUUUGAAAUAUGUUAAGGGUUGAAGAUGACUGACAGUUUACUGGACCCAAUAAGUAUUUGUUCUUCUUCCAGUUGUAUAAAAAUAAGUAUUGUGAAUGAUCGUUCACUGGAUCCUAUCAUCUCGUGGAGCUGGAAACGGCUACAACAUUGUCGUGGUUUGGGAGUUUUACGAAUUAAGUAAAUGUUAAUAGAAAAUGUUAACAAGUGAUUUCCUCUCGACUUAUUUACCUUUUGCUAACAGAUGUUCAAUGGAUCCAACCAUUCUUUGACUUUGAAGCAUCAUACUAAUUGGAGAAGUUACUUAUGAGUCAUGACCGAAGAAGAACAAUGAUACUACUGAGCUGGAAGUUUAGAUGGCACUAAGGGGAUAAGCAGAUGAAACUUGAAAGUCAAGUUUUCGGAGUAUUUGUUAACAACACAAACGAAUAAAACGAUGUGUCUAAGCACCAAUCCUCACGCAAAAGAGCUUUUUAAUAACUUGAGCACAACUGUGUGUUUUAGAAUGAGGUCACGUGCGGCACUGAUUAGUGGCAAAUUCUCCUGCACAUAUCCUGACCGUCCAAUAUGCAUAAAACGAAAGAAAAAAGGAAAUUCCAAACUAUAAAAAAAAGGAAAUCCCAAAGAAAAAGGAAAUUAAUCAUAAACUGACCGUUGAAAUUCAUUCAAUCACAUCUUGACCGUCUAUUUUUAAGAGUAAAAAAGGAAAUCCGAAAGAGAAAAAAAAAAGAAGAAGGAAAUUGAUCAUAUUAGGACCGUUGAAACACUCUCUAUAUAAUCAAUCAUCAUAAAGCUUAGAGCUAAUCUCAUUCGACAACAACUCAAAGUUUCCUUUUUUACUCUCUCCCUCUCUCUGUCUCUCGAUUUCUCUCCUCAGAGGUUUAGGUUCACUUCUAGUUCCGUCUUCGUGCCUGUUCAUCUUCUGUCUUAACCCAGAAAUCAAAUCUAGGGUUUUACUACCACCACCGAUAACUAAAAAGGAUGAUUAGCAAACUCUCCAGGCUGGUCGGUUUAAACAAUUUUAAAUCAGAUGAACAAUUAACCAAGCAGGAUGAGAAAAUAAAUCUAUCAAUUUAACGGUCAAACAAUUCUAGCAACAUAGCAUCAGAUUCAAUCAGAUUUAAAACCUCAAUGAUCAAAACCGAAAACAGUUUUGAUUUCAAAAUAUUCGAUUAGGGUUUUAAUAUGUGAUUUGAUAAUUAUAGUAUAAUUAAUUCUAAUACUUAUAUUAUUUAGGGUUUAUAGAUAUAGGGUUAGGGUUUAUCGAAUUUUAACUUGUAAAUUUGGGGUUUUAAUCAUGUAGGAACAUGAUUUAGGGUUUGGGGUAUCGAACUUUUAGAGCUUCGAUUUACUCAAUUAGGAUUUUUGAUUUAUUACCCUAUGGUUUUGAUUCAUAAAGAUUAGGGUUUUAGGGUUUCAUUUUUAUCAAUCAAUCCAUGUUCGAUUAUGGGUUCUUAGGUUUUGAAUUACCUUUUAACCUUAGAUGAUUGUUGAAUCGAACCACCAAAGAAGUUGAGCCUCGAGCUGGACACGAACGGGACGCGAGCUGGACACGAACGGGACGCGAGCUGGAAUGGAUCGAGUUGCUACUAUCGGGUCGCGGACGUCCUUUGUUUCUUGAUCGGGAACGCCUUGAUCGUCGGACGCGAGCUAUCUGAUGCUGUCGCGAACGAGGAAGAGAUCGCGUGCUGGAGCUGCUAUGGGGUCGCGAACGUCUGAGUUAGGAUCAUGAACGCCUUGGGCUGAAUCUAAUCGGGGACGCGAGCUGGAACAUAUGCGGGAACAAGAGACGCGAUCGGGGUUUAGGGUUCGUCGGAUCGCCGGCUAGGGUGAGGGUUUUAAGGUUUUUCGAUUUGGGUAUUAGCUUAGGGAUUUAGAGUUUCGUGCUGAUAACGUGUUAUAAAAGUAAUGGAAAAGUCUAUCUUUAUUUAUAACAUAGAGGUUUCUUAUAUAGGAGAUUACACCGUCAUAGAUAAAUGGAAAGAUUACAAAUCAUAAUCUCUUGGUUAUGAGCCAUCCACAAUCUGGUUCAUAACAAUAAUUAAUAUAUAGAAGAUAUAUAUUCUUUUUUUGGGAAAAAUACACAAAUUACUUUUUAUACCUUAAAGAAGUUUUUUUUUGUUGGAUGGUUAAAAUUGUUGUAACUACAACCAAAUAAAUUUAGUUGCUCUCAAUAUAAAUUUUUGUAAAUAUAUAUCGAUCUAUAUUUCUUCUUUUUUUGGUAUGUCUUUCCCUCCUUGAUUGUUUCAUUCGCAUAUAGUUAUACAAAAAAAAAACAAUAAUGAAGAUGUGUAACAUUUAUUUUAUAUACUAAAAAGACUCACAUUUAAACAAACUAAAAAUCCAAAUACUGAAAACCAAUGUUUUUAAAACUGGACCGGAUACCGACUCAGUAUAGCUACUGGUUGAGUGGUCGGACCGGUUCAACCGAUCAAAGCGGGUUUUCUAUUUAAAAAUAAAUAAAUCUAUAUAAUCAUAUAUUUACACUAUAUGGACCUAAAAUGUAGUUCUACAUAUAAUAUGUUCUCUUUUAUUAAUUAGAUAAUAAACAAUAAUCAUAAGUUUAGUUAUAUAUACAUUUAACAAGUGAAUACCAUAUCAACUGAAAUCGAUAUAAAAAAUGAUUGACCGUUUAAAUUACAUAUUUAUUUAUUUUUACAACUAAAAGUCUUAAAUUUUAUGAAUAUGGCAAAAUGAAAAUAAAAUAUUAGAGUCAAAAAGAGAUUUUUAAACAUUUUUUCUUUAAAAAAAUAGAAUUAAGAGAAAACCAAUUAAAUAGUAAAAGUUAAACAUUGAUUAUGAAAUAUUAAAUUUUAAUAACAAUUGAAAAUACAUUAAUUAUUUGUUGAUUUCUGUAGAACCGGGUUUUGAAGUUGAACCGAAUCACCGGUUUUUAGCUGGUUUUACCGGUUUUUCUCAAAUCUUAAACCGAACCGGACUCGGCUUUUUUAAUGAGUCACGGUCGGACUGAUUCGACCGGCCGAUCCGGUCUGGUUUUCAAAACCUUGCUGAAAACGUAUAAGUGCUCAAAAUUUUUUUUAUUCCAGUAGUGGUACAGUUAACAUCAAUUCAAGAUUGGAAAAUGAAUCUUUAGAAGUACAAGAUCUAGUCUAAGCUUCAAGUGUUGAGAUGUGGUUGUCGAUGAGUGUUUUGUUGCUGCCAGUGAUUAGCAUAUCAUCAACAUAGACUAGGACAUACAAGAGAGUAGUGACUGUCGAUUUGACUGAAGAGUAAUGUGUCUGCAACAGAGUUAGUUGACAAAACCAAGAGUGGGCAAAUAAUUUUGCAGUUCUUGGUACCAUGCCCUUGGCACUUAACGAAGACCAUAGAGAGCUUUCUUUAGGCGACUUACAUAUGUCAGACGAUCUUUGUCGGCAAAUACUAUAGGUUGCUUGACAUAUACUUCAUCAGCUAGUCGACCCUGUAGGAAGGCAUUAUUAACAUCAAUUUUCUCAUGUCAUUGUUGACAGCCAGAUGUAAGACUGAAUGGACUGAAGUUGCCUUUAUAACAUGUCUGAACGUGUCAGUAAAGUUCCUGCCUUGUUGUUUAUGGAAGGACAAGCCACCAAUCUUGCUUUGUACCUAGCAAGAGAAUCAUCAUGAUUGUAUUUUAGAGUAAAAAUCCCACUUACACCCAACAACAUUUUGAUAAGGAUCCGGCGGUACAUUUUCAUCUGGGCCAUUGCAAAUCUGAGCAUUAAUCUCCUCUACCAUAGCAAUGCGGCAGUUAAGAUCCUUCGGAGCAUCAGCGACUGUCUUUGGUAUUGUGGGUUUGCUCUUUGCGGUGGUGUAGGAGAAUUUUUGUGUUGGUUUUGUGAUGUUGUUUUUGGCUAUUGUGCGCAUAGGGUAGUUAUAUGGAGGUGGGUUUACUGUUGGCUGAGAGGGUAUGGGAGGUGGGUUUGGUUGAGGUGGAGUAGGAGUAGGAGGUAGAGGAGUUAUUGGAGUGAGAGUAGGCGCUAAGGUUGUUGAAGUAGUUGUUGUGGUGGAGUGUUGUUGUUGUUGCUGCAAUACCAUAGCCGGUUGUUGUUUUUGUUGCAAUACCAUAAACCUUAUGCGGGUCCUGUUGUGAGAACAAAAACGAGUGAACGAGUCGGUACAAUUUUAGUAGGGUGGAAGACUUGAGUCGAUUCUGGUUGAUCACUGUGAGACAUCGGUGUGGGUAUUCUGGCUUUGGAAGGGAACACGCUUUCAUCAAAGAUAACAUGGCGUGAGGUGUAUAGAUGACUAGUAGACCUCUCAAAACAUGUAUGCACUCUAAGAUAAAGAGUACCCCACCAACAUAUGCCGCUGAACGUGGAUUCAACUAAUGAGACCCAUAAAACCGAAAUCAUUUUCCUAUAAUAAUAAAUUAAUAAUAUUCUUACAGAUAAAAAAUGUUGUUUUAAAAAGUAAAGAAUUUACAGUCAUUUUUUUAUUUUUUUGCUGUAGAUUUGAAAUAUAAUUUCGACAGUCCAACCAAUCAAUCCCGUGUUUUUGAGGAUUCAUGGUUUUAAAUUAAUACGUACCAUCAAUUUUUAUUGGUUAUAGCCGUUUUCUGGUUUUUUUUUUUAAAUUAUGUUUUAGAUCUAAUCAGUUUUGGCUUAGUAAACGAGUUUAUGGUGGGAAUGGUUUUCAGAACUGGUAAUUUCCUAUGUUUGAAGUUAAUAAACCAGUGUUGAAUAAUGAAUGAAAAGUAGAUAUUGAAAACAAAAAAAAAGAAAAAAAGAGGGAAAAGAAAAACAAAAAGGGUGUAAAAAAUGAUAUAGUGAGAAAACAAACCCGCCGUUGGAAACAAACCCGCCCAUAGAAAAGGAACUUAUUUGGACUGAUGAAAAGGAAUAGCCCAUGGUUUCGCUCCACUCCUCCUUCGAAUCUCUCUCUCUCUAUCUAUCUUCUUCCACAAAUCCACUUUUAUCGAAUCCUUUUCCCCUUUUAAAACACAUUUCCUUUUUUUCUCACCGUCUCCUCGUUUAUACCAAACACUGUUCUUUAUCUUCUUGUCCGAAUCAUAACCAUAAAACCCAGAUUGAAUGGGAGCUGGUACAGUUGUGAGAGAUCGAGUACGGAAAGAUCUCUCUGAGAUUUCCAACAAAACGAAUAUUCCGGCGACGAAACCCAUCGUUUCUUCCUCUCCGGAGAUUCGUUCGAACUCACGGAAGAAGAUCCAACGGCGGAGCAAGAAAGCUGUGAUCUCUCCGGUGCAGAAGCUCUUCGAAACUUGCAAGAAAGUAUUCGCUAAUGGCAAAUCCGGAGCCGUCCCGUCCCAAGAACACAUUAACAUGCUUCGAGCCGUUCUGGGUAAGUUCCAUAAACCCUUUUAGUAAAGUUUGAAACUUUGGAACAUGAGUUGUGUCUGAAUCUAUAUGUUUUUUUUGUCUGUUGCAUUAGACGAAAUCAAGCCUGAAGAUGUUGAUGUGAGCCCUAAGAUGCCGUGUUUUCGAUCUAAAUCGAACGGACGGCCUCCAGUGACGUAUCUCCACAUCUACAAAUGUCAUAGCUUCUCGGUACUAAUCUUUGUUUUACUUCAAAGAAUCUUUAAUUCUUGUUAAUUUUUUUUAUAUUCUAAAGUUUUGUGUUUUGUGUAUGUAAUAACAAGAUGGGCAUUUUCUGUUUACCACCGUCUGGUGUAAUCCCACUUCACAAUCACCCGGAGAUGACUGUGUUUAGUAAGCUCUUGUUUGGUACAAUGCACAUCAAAUCCUAUGAUUGGGUCGCUGAUUCUCCCCGUAAGUUAUCAAAACCAAAAACAUUUGUACUUGUUACUGGGAUUUGGUGUUUGAUUGUUUUUGUGGAUCAAAUGUAGAGCCGAGUUCGGAUACUCGUUUGGCGAAAGUGAAAGUGGAUUCAGACUUCACGGCACCUUGUGACACUUCUAUACUCUACCCUGCCGAUGGAGGGAAUAUGCAUUGCUUCACCGCGAAAACUGCUUGUGCGGUUCUUGAUGUUCUUGGUCCUCCAUACUCCGAUCCUGCAGGACGUCAC
rnacentral:lncRNA from 1 species